UGUAUUGUGCUUGUUAGUGUUUGGAUAAUUUUUUCUCAAAAUUCCCUCAUUACUUAUUAGAUUAUCAUUUUUAUAGAAAAUAAAAUGGAUGAUUCGACUCCAUCUAAGCGGAUUACGAGAGGGUCUAUGGAAAAAUCUAAACAAAUUCUAGAGGAAAAAUCUAUUGCAGAAUUGAGAUCCAA